rnacentral:rRNA from 1 species
GGAUUAGAUACCCUGGUAGUCCACGCCCUAAACGAUGAUCGCUAAGUAUCGGAUUUAGUUCGGUAUUUAAGCUAACGCGUAAGCGGUCCGCCUGGAGAUUACGGUCGCAAGACUAAAAUUUAAAGGAAUUGACGGGAACCUGCACAAGCGGUGGAGUAUGUGGUUUAAUGCGAAGACACACGUCGAACCUUACCAGCUUUUGACAUGUAUUUUAAGAUACGAGAGAUUGUAUCGUGCCUCGCAAGAGGAGGAAUACACAGGUGUUGCACGGCCGUCGUCAGCUCGUGCCG